rnacentral:rRNA from 1 species
AACGAACGCUGGCGGCGUGGAUAAGACAUGCAAGUCGAACGGGAUUAUUUUUGUAGCAAUACAGAAAUAAUUCAGUGGCGAACGGGUGCGUAACACGUGGGCAAUCUGCCGAAAAGUGGGGGAUAGCUCGCCGAAAGGCGAAUUAAUACCGCAUGUGGUGAGGGACGACAUCUUCCUGAAUCCAAAGCCGGGGGUAACCUGGCGCUUUUUUGAGGAGCCCGCGGCCUAUCAGCUAGUUGGGAGGUAACGGCCCACCAAGGCUAUGACGGGUAGCUGGUCUGAGAGGACGACCAGUCACACUGGAACUGAGACACGGUCCAGACACCUACGGGUGGCAGCAGUC